UUCCACCUCAAUACACUACAAAAAAGUCUGGGAAGCUUGGUGCCUGGUGCCAGCACUGGGACAUUUUUAGCUUCAUCAUCGUUACCAUGACCACUAUGGUCAUUACCAUCAAUAUCAUCAUCACCUUCACCAGUAUCAUCACCUUUGCCCUCAGUCACCACCAUCAUGACCCUGCCACCAGAGGGGCAACCGAAGCAGAGCAAAAAAUUGUCACUGAGUUUGGAGUCAGAGAUCAGGAAGGCUGAGUCACCUUGAAUUUAUGGGGAAGACGACUUGAGCUACGAUGAAAAAAAUGAAUACAAGUCCAGAAAUAUGAAUACCAGUCCCUUUGUGUUUCCAUGAAACUAGGUAAGAAGAAAAAUGUUAAAACCAACCAGAUAAUAAAGACAAAUUUCACAAAGAGGAC
rnacentral:lncRNA from 1 species